UACAGAGGGUGCAAGCGUUAAUCGGAAUUACUGGGCGUAAAGGGCGCGUAGGCGGCCUUCUAAGUCGAACGUGAAAUCCCCGGGCUCAACCCGGGAACUGCGUCCGAUACUGGAAGGCUUGAAUCCGGGAGAGGGAUGUGGAAUUCCAGGUGUAGCGGUGAAAUGCGUAGAUAUCUGGAGGAACACCGGUGGCGAAGGCGACAUCCUGGACCGGUAUUGACGCUGAGGCGCGAAAGCCAGGGGAGCAAACGGG
rnacentral:rRNA from 1 species